UGGCAGCGAGCGGCGAACGGGUGAGUAACACAUCGGAACGUGCCCUAUCGUGGGGGAUAACGAAUCGAAAGAUUCGCUAAUACCGCAUACGACCUGAGGGUGAAAGCGGGGGAUCGCAAGACCUCGCGCGAUUGGAGCGGCCGAUGUCGGAUUAGCUAGUUGGUGAGGUAAAGGCUCACCAAGGCGACGAUCCGUAGCUGGUCUGAGAGGACGACCAGCCACACUGGGACUGAGACACGGCCCAGACUCCUACGGGAGGCAGCAGUGAGGAAUUUUGGACAAUGGGGGCAACCCUGGUCCAGCCAUUCCGCGUGAGUGAAGAAGGCCUUCGGGUUGUAAAGCUCUUUCGGCAGGAACGAAGCGGUGCAGGCUAAUACCCUGUAUCAAUGACGGUACCUGAAGAAGAAGCACCGGCUAACUACGUGCCAGCAGCCGCGGUAAUACGUAGGGUGCGAGCGUUAAUCGGAAUUACUGGGCGUAAAGCGUGCGCAGGCGGCUUUGUAAGACAGGUGUGAAAUCCCCGGGCUUAACCUGGGAACUGCGCUUGUGACUGCAAGGCUUGAGUGUGGCAGAGGGGGGUGAAAUUCCACGUGUAGCAGUGAAAUGCGUAGAGAUGUGGAGGAACACCGAUGGCGAAGGCAGCCCCCUGGGUCAACACUGACGCUCAUGCACGAAAGCGUGGGUAGCAAACAGGAUUAGAUACCCUGGUAGUCCACGCCCUAAACGAUGCCAACUAGGUGUUGGGGAAGGAGACUUCCUUAGUACCGUAGCUAACGCGUGAAGUUGGCCGCCUGGGGAGUACGGUCGCAAGAUUAAAACUCAAAGGAAUUGACGGGACCCGCACAAGCGGUGGAUGAUGUGGAUUAAUUCGAUGCAACGCGAAAAACCUUACCUACCCUUGACAUGCCAG
rnacentral:rRNA from 1 species